GUGAGAAAAAAACUCAAAAGGGGACAAUUACAGAGGAGGGAUAACUAAUCAAGCUCAUCAGUGUUAUGUGGUUCAUCUGUGAUAGAGUGAAGAUGAGAACCCAGACUACAGAGAUUUGGUAUCCCACCAGCAGGAUUUGUACCAGAAUCUGGAGUUGUGGAGUACCUGAAUUUCAUUUCUUCAGGCUUCAUGAACAAAUGACAGAGGGGAGGUGGGGAAAAAAGAAAAAUUCUGCCAAAACUGGGAAUUGAAGUGAGCCUUGUGAAAAACAUGAAGUGCCUUGAUCUCCAGCCCACCCUCAUCCUUAUGUUUGCCAUUUAUAGCCAAGACUACUAUUUUACCAUCUUCAUCAACUUUUCUCAAUGACAGACCUCCCACCUAUAAUAAUGACCUUAAUAUCAAGAGCAGAAGCGAGUGAAAUAUUUCUUACUGUGUUAUGCUAAGGAAGUAACAAAAUAGACAAGGCUCAUGAGUUGAUUCAACUUGUAGCUGCUGUUACUACUUUCUCUUUUACAGUGUUCUUUUUUUAUUGUGAUUAAUAUGGAGUUUAUACAAUUUAGCAGUAUGUGAUAGAAUUUUUAUUCCCACCUGGCUCUGUUUUUGCAGGUUUGUGUUAAGGGAUGAAAAUGUAAUGUAUUUUAUCACAAUGUCCUCUUGAUGUAUUUCCAGUUGUAACAGAGGGCAACUCACAAAUAACUUGAGUGUAUACAAUCUUUUUUUCCGUUAAGUUGAAUGUUUAGAGAAAUUGUGAUUUCCUUAAUAUUUGCUGUAAGAAAUCUCCUAUUCCCAUCUGAAUAAGCAGUGUUGGAGGUUUUUGGUUCAUGAGUUGUGUUCAGUCCACAUGUACACAAUAAUUCUCCAUGGGGGCUGUGCUAAUCAGUGGUCAUUACUCAGGUGAAUAAAG